UUACCCGAUCGGGUAAAACGCGAAUAUGGUGUAAAAUAUGCUUUUCGGCUUUUUCAAAGGCAUAUCCGCGUUUUACCCGAUCGGGUAA
rnacentral:miRNA from 1 species